rnacentral:rRNA from 1 species
UACGCAGGGUGCAAGCGUUAAUCGGAAUUACUGGGCGUAAAGCGUGCGCAGGCGGUUUUGUAAGUCUGAUGUGCAAUCCCCGGGCUCAACCUGGGAAUUGCAUUGGAGACUGCAAGGCUAGAAUCUGGCAGAGGGGGGUAGAAUUCCACCUGUAGCAGUGAAAUGCGUAGAGAUGUGGAGGAACCCCGAUGGCGAAGGCA